CUGCGGUGAAUACGUUCCCGGGUCUUGUACACACCGCCCGUCAAACCAUGAAAGUCACCAACACCCGAAGUCCGAUUCGUCGGCCUAAGGUGGGGGGGAUGAUUGGGGUUAAGUCGUAACAAGGUACCC
rnacentral:rRNA from 1 species